rnacentral:rRNA from 1 species
AUUGAACGCUGGCGGCAGGCUUAACACAUGCAAGUCGAGCGAGCGGCGGACGGGUGAGUAAUGUCUGGGAAACUGCCUGGUGGAGGGGGAUAACUACGGGAAACGGGAGAUAAUACCGCAUAACAGCAGAUGUGCCCAGAUGGGAUUAGUUAGUAGGUGGGGUAAUGGCUCACCUAGGCGACGAUCCCUAGCUGGUCUGAGAGGAUGACCAGCCACACUGGAACUGAGACACGGUCCAGACUCCUACGGGAGGCAGCAGUGGGGAAUAUUGCACAAUGGGCGCAAGCCUGAUGCAGCCAUGCCGCGUGUAUGAAGAAGGCCUUCGGGUUGUAAAGUACUUUCAGCGAGGAGGCGUUACUCGCAGAAGAAGCACCGGCUAACUCCGUGCCAGCAGCCGCGGUAAUAC